rnacentral:RNase_P_RNA from 1 species
GGAGUCGGUCAGGCGACCGCGGCGGUGCUCGCGUACCGUCGAGGAAAGUCCGGACUCCACAGGGCAGGGUGGUCGGUAACACCGACCCGGGGCGACCCGCGGGCCAGUGCCACAGAAAACAGACCGCCACCGAUCCGGUGGUAAGGGUGAAACGGUGGUGUAAGAGACCACCAGCGGCCGGAGCGAUCCGGUCGGCUUGGUAAACCCCACCCGGAGCAAGGUCAAGAGGAGAGCCUUCGGGUUCUCUGCGCGGACGAUCGAGGGUGGCCCGCCCGAGUUCGCGGGUAGACCGCAGGAGGCUGUCGGCAACGGCAGUCCCAGAUGGAUGGUCGCCCGGUCCGGAUACGGACCGUAACAGAAUCCGGCUUAUCGACCGGCUCCCCGU